AUUGAACGCUGGCGGCAGGCCUAACACAUGCAAGUCGAGCGGAUGAAGGGAGCUUGCUCCUGGAUUCAGCGGCGGACGGGUGAGUAAUGCCUAGGAAUCUGCCUUGUAGUGGGGGAUAACGUCCGGGAACGGGCUCUAAUACCGCAUACGUCCUGUGGGAGAAAGUGGGGGAUCUUCGGACCUCACGCUAUCAGAUGAGCCUAGGUCGGAUUAGCUAGUUGGUGGGGUAAAGGCCUACCAAGGCGACGAUCAGUAACUGGUCUGAGAGGAUGAUCAGGCACACCGGAACUGAGACACGGUCCAGACUCCUACGGGAGGCAGCAGUGGGGAAUAUUGGACAAUGGGCGAAAGCCUGAUCCAGCCAGGCCGCGUGUGUGAAGAAGGUCUUCGGAUUGUAAAGCACUUUAAGUUGGGAGGAAGGGCAGUAAGUUAAUACCUUGCUGUUUUGACGGUACCAACAGAAUAAGCACCGGCUAACUUCGUG
rnacentral:rRNA from 1 species